rnacentral:rRNA from 1 species
UACGUAGGGUGCGAGCGUUAAUCGGAAUUACUGGGCGUAAAGCGUGCGCAGGCGGUUUUGUAAGUCUGUCGUGAAAGCCCCGGGAUCAACCUGGGAAUUGCGAUGGAGACUGCAAGGCUUGAAUCUGGCAGAGGGGGGUAGAAUUCCACGUGUAGCAGUGAAAUGCGUAGAGAUGUGGAGGAACACCGAUGGCGAAGGCAGCCCCCUGGGUCAAGAUUGACGCUCAUGCACGAAAGCGUGGGGAGCAAACAGG